rnacentral:rRNA from 1 species
UACGUAGGGUGCAAGCGUUGUCCGGAAUUAUUGGGCGUAAAGAGCUCGUAGGCGGUUUGUUGCGUCGGCUGUGAAAUCCCGAGGCUCAACCUCGGGUCUGCAGCCGAUACGGGCAAGCUAGAGUUCGGUAGGGGGAGACUGGAAUUCCUGGUGUAGCGGUGAAAAUGCGCAGAUAUCAGGAGGAACACCGGUGGCGAAGGCGGGUCUCUGGGCCGAUACUGACGCUGAGGAGCGAAAAGCGUGGGGGAGCAAACAGG